CAUCUUCAUAGAACAUACAAGGCGAAACAUUCAUUCUUCAGAGCAUGGAGAAACACACAACCCGCAAUGAUGCAAUAGUAUUUCUUUCAUUGCUACUACUCCUCGGAUGCUUUUCCAUUCGUGCAGAAUGCCGAGCAGCCAUGGAUGAAAUGGAUAUCCAGUAUGUCCCUUCACAUUGCAUCUAUACUCAUGAUUGCCACGGACAAAAUCAGAGUACUCCUUCCUGCUAUUGCUGUGUCCAUAAUAUAGCUCAGUGCUAUGUCGAUCCAGGUGAAUGCCAAAGAAAAUGCUCCGCAAAAUGAAUUCAUAUUUACUUGAAACAAUGUACGGAGUGUAAUUCUUAUGUGGGAGUUGCGUGUGAGCAACGGAAUUGAAUGAAUAAAGACGCAGUGCAAUGUGUGUUGCUGCUUUUAAUUCUUGCA